UGGCUCAGGACGAACGCUGGCGGCGUGCUUAACACAUGCAAGUCGAACGGUGAUGUCAGAGCUUGCUCUGGCGGAUCAGUGGCGAACGGGUGAGUAACACGUGAGUAACCUGCCCCCGACUCUGGGAUAACUGCUAGAAAUGGUAGCUAAUACCGGAUAUGACGAUUGGCCGCAUGGUCUGGUCGUGGAAAGAAUUUCGGUUGGGGAUGGACUCGCGGCCUAUCAGGUUGUUGGUGAGGUAAUGGCUCACCAAGCCUACGACGGGUAGCCGGC
rnacentral:rRNA from 1 species